GUCUGUGUGAGAGGGAAUAUACAGUCUGGCCUGCCCCCUGAAGUUUAAAGGGCCGCGGUAUUCGAACCGUGCUAAGGUAGCAUAAUAAAUAGUCUUUUAAUUGAAGUCUAGUAUGAAGGGUCGGACAUGAAGUAGGCUGUCUUGGUUAUAGGGCUUGAACUUUACUUUUAAGUGAAAAGGCUUAAAUUGAGUGGUGGGACGAUAAGACCCUAUAAAGCUUUACAUUUUACUUGUAAAUAAAAAAGAUUAUGGUUUGUUUGUUUUUGCUGGGUAAAGUGUUUCGUUGGGGCGACGAGAAUAUAAAAUAGUAACUGUUUUUUUUUAAAAAAUAUGUUUUUUAGGAGAGUUGAUCCUUUAUAGAGAUUAUAAGAAUUAAGUUACUUUAGGGAUAACAGCGUAAUUUUUCUUGAGAGUUCAUAUCGACAGAAAUAGUUGCGACCUCGAUGUUGAAUUAAGAUUUCUCCAAGGUGUAGCAGUUUUGGUGGUAGGUCUGUUCGACCUUUAAAAUCUU
rnacentral:rRNA from 1 species